rnacentral:rRNA from 1 species
CCUACGGGAGGCUGCAGUCGAGAAUCAUUCACAAUGGGGGAAACCCUGAUGGUGCGACGCCGCGUGGGGGAAGACGGCUCUAUGAGUUGUAAACUGCUUUUGUACGAGGGUAAACGCAGAUACGCGUAUCUGUCUGAAAGUAUCGUACGAAUGAGGAUCGGCUAACUCCGUGCCAGCAGCCGCGGUAAUACGGAGGAUUCAAGCGUUAUCCGGAUUUAUUGGGUUUAAAGGGUGCGUAGGAGGUCGGUUAAGUUAGAGGUGAAAUCCCGAGGCUCAACUUCGGAAUUGCCUCUGAUACUGUUCGGCGAGAGAGUAGUUGCGGUAGGCGGAAUGUAUGGUGUAGCGGUGAAAUGCUUAGAGAUCAUACAGAACACCGAUUGCGAAGGCAGCUUACCAAGCUACUUCUGACGUUGAGGCACGAAAGCGUGGGGAGCAAACAGGAUUAGAUACCCGGGUAGUC